CAGUGCUUCUGCAGUGGGGCUUCCUGUGCUGCAUUGUGUUGCUGUGUGGCACAUGUAUCACAGUGAGAGCCUCUCAUGACCUCCUCACCAGGAGAGAGAUGUGAAUCUGAUUUUGAUAUGAGAAAUACUGGCAUAGGAGAGGGAGAAGAACGAAUGACUGAGAGUUUCCUGGCCUAAGUAGAGGGUAAAUGUAAUUUUCUCCAUUUUUCACCUGAAAGUACAAAGUGCAAGUUCUGCUGCCGGCAGACCUAGCCACAGAAAUGAAGCUCUGUUCUGCAGAUCUCUUUGAUUUGAUCUGGAGAGGCAGAAAGCUGUCUACCUGUGAGGUAGCCAACUGCCCUUGGUGUGUUACUCAUUGCAAACUAAUUGCCUGAGAUCAUUUUGGUACUGCAGACACUGAAAGGCUGAACUGUGUAUUAACAGAUACCUGACCUGACUCAUCAUCUCAGAGCAUUGCAUGUUAGCUUGCCAGCCAAGUGUGCCAAAUGAGAUUGAGUGUUGACAUCAGGGUACAGUAUGAAGAGGGAUGGUCUGACCGGGAGAGCAAGAGGGACAGCUUGCGUUUUUAUGGGCUGACAUCACAUCUGGAAAGCUGCUGCCCUCUGACUCUAAUAAAUGAUGACCCUGAACAUGGUGAAUAUUUGCUUCCUGCUCGUUCUUGAAAGGUGAGUGAAAAGAAUGAUAAAUGAGAUGGCCUACUGCUCUUGCUGUUUCCUUCUGUCUGUAAUACUUCACUUCCUCAUACAGCUGUUCAGCAGCUGAUGGAAAAGUCCUGUUCCAUGCAAUCAGAAAGA
rnacentral:lncRNA from 1 species